AGAUCAGUCACCCAGACUCCUCACCUCACAAAACGCCAGCUUCGCUGCUCCCUGGCUGUGUCCGCUCCUUGCUUUCCUCCCUUCUUUCCCUCCCUCUCUCUCUUACUUCCCUCUCCACCCUGUUCUCUAUUCCUCCUCAUCGCGUCUUCCUCCCCCUCACUGACCCGUGGGCCUCGCAGGCUGUUGGCCGGCAACUGUGACCCUUUCUCACUUCUGUCUCCUCACUCACCUGGGCGGGCAGGUGCACCAGCCUAACCCUCACAGGUGUUUGCCCCUCUUCCUCGUCUUUCUUCAGACCCCUCACUCAUAGCCUCUGAACCAGAGGUGGCAAAGGAAGAUGCCUCAGUUCUUGGGAUGCCCUUGCCAGCAUCAGGGUCCAGGAGAUUACAGGCUGCCCUGUUUGCUUCAGAAUUUCUGUCUCCAGCCCAGUUAGUCUCACCAUCUCAAGGCCUUGUUAAGCUUGAGUAGGCAUGGGCUCCAGUGGAGUGCCAUCACAGAGGCUUUGCUGAGCACACUGACUUGAUCUUCAGUCUGGCAGAGUAAAGUCUGUUCCUUGUCCACUUACAAAUCAUGCUUCUAAGCUCCAGGCUAUCUCCUUUCCACCAGAACCCACUCCAUUCCACAAUUUUCACCAAAAUGGAAGUCUAAAGAAUUUGUAGCUAUGAUCCUUCUUAAAUUAUUUUACUCUUGGAAAAUUUCAAGCAUAGCAAAGAUAGGAGAAUUAGUAUAAUAAAUCCCCAUGUAUCCUUCUGUCAACUCAGCUUCUGUCAACUCAGUUCACAAUCUUGUUUCAUUUGUACCCCUGCUGACAUCCU